rnacentral:lncRNA from 1 species
GGCUCAACAAAAGCUCUAUAAUGAUGCACAAAUGAUAUCAAUAUGUAUAUGAAUAAUGAGAGGUGUUGUGUGUUUCAAUUCAGCUCAAAAGACCUCUUUUUAUAGGUGGUAGAAGUAGUAUGUCCGUUGCUUAAUUGGCAAUCAAUUAUGCUGAUUUUAUGCCAACAUAAUCGAUUAUCAGAUUUGGAUAAUCGAUUAUCAGCUUACCGUUACAAAAUCGGAAGCUGAUUUUAUGCAGGAU